GCCGGAGUGGCGGAAUGGUAGACGCAGCGGACUUAAAAUCCGCUGGAGCUGUAAGCUCCGUGCCGGUUCGAGUCCGGCCUCCGGCA
rnacentral:tRNA from 1 species